rnacentral:lncRNA from 1 species
AAAAAAAAUUGAAGCAGCUAGAAAGUCCAAACGAAAUGCAUGUCUCGCAGUUUGGUCCAAGGGUAUUUCUAGACAUCUCUACUGGUGCUCUACAUCAAAACCUUAAGGGUCCAGCAAUCCUCAGAUUGUUGCAGACAAAUGGCUUUCAAUGGCAUGGUGGAACUUGUCCUGCAUGACAGCAUGGUCAACGUGAUCCUAAUGCUUGUAUUAAAAAAAGGUACUUCUCAGUACAGAAUUCUGGAAGGAAUUAUCAAGAACAAGUGUCUUCUAAGAGACAUUGGGAUGCUUUUUCCUGAUGCAUAGACAGCCACCAUUGAGCCAUAUCAUGCUGUUCGCACCCAAGCUAAAUGGUUACACAUACCCAGUCAUGCUAACAAAGUAUGUGGAUUUUUGUUAUCAUUAGUUUAAAAUCUAUCAGCAGCCGAUCACAUCAGUGUAAAUUAUUCAAAGCAUCAUGACAUUGACUAUUGCGGGUAGUUCGCUGUUAAUACCGAGUACAAGACUAUUUUGCAUACGAAGCGAGCUGUCACAGGACCUUUAAUGCCACCGGGAAGGGUGGGGAUGAUUCCGACAACCGUGAACAAAGGUGACACCAUCAGACGACCACCGUCCACCGGCGAUGUACCAGAUAACACAUCGGCCGGUCAUUAUCUUUCUGUCCAGUCUCCCGCCUGCUUUUGUUCUUCGCCCAAACAGGAGGAGAAGGGAGGACGAGGGAAAGUUUAUGUUGAUGAAGAAAGAUCCCUCGGCAGCAAUUUUCAGCAGGGCAGUGACAGAAGUGCAACCUACUACUUGUUACUAGAUUGCUAAGUAAAGGGAUGACAACACCUGCUGAGGAAAUGGGUGACACGAAAAUACGAGGAUGCUAAUUCUUCUCUACGAG